AUUGAACGCUGGCGGCAGGCCUAACACAUGCAAGUCGAACGAGUGGCGGACGGGUGAGUAAUGUCUGGGAAACUGCCUGAUGGAGGGGGAUAACUACUGGAAACGGUAGCUAAUACCGCAUACCAUCAGAUGUGCCCAGAUGGGAGUAGCUAGUUGGUGGGGUACCGGCUCACCAAGGCGACGAUCCCUAGCUGGUCUGAGAGGAUGACAGACAAGACGGGAACGGAGAAACGGUCCAGACGCCGAAGGGAGGAAGCAGGGGGGAAUAUUGCACAAGGGGCGCAAGCCGGAUGCAGCCAUGCCGCGUGUAUGAAGAAGGCCGUCGGGUUGUAAAGUACUUGCAGCGGGGAGGCGUUACCCGCAGAAGAAGCACCGGCUAACUCCGUGCCAGCAGCUGCGGUAAUAC
rnacentral:rRNA from 1 species